UAUGACCAUAUCACUUUGAAACACCGGUUCUUGUACGAUCACCAAAGUUAAGCAAUAUUGAGCUUGGUCAGUACCUAGAUAGAUGUCUGCUUGGGAAUACCAGGUGCUA